CGCUGGGGUCCCCUUCCACACUGUGGAAGCUUUGUUCUUUCGCUCUUUGCAAUAAAUCUUGCUACUGCUCACUCUUUGGGUCCACACUGCUUUUAUGAGCUGUAACUUACCGUGAAGGUCUGCAGCUUCACUCCUGAAGCCAGCGAGACCACAAGCCCACCGGGAGGAAAGAACAACUCUAGAUGCGCGGCCUUAAGAGCUGUAAUACUCACCUGGAAGGUCUGCAGCUUCACUCCUGAGCCAGCGAGACCACGAACCCCACCAGAAGGAAGAAACUCCGAACACAUCCGAACAUCAGAAGGAACAAACUCCAGACGCGCCAUCUUAAGAGCUGUAACACUCACGGCGAGGGUCCACGGCUUCAUUCUUGAAGUCAGUGAGACCAAGAACCCACCAAUUCCGGACACAAUGUGACUAGUUCUUGCCAAUGCAAUGUGAGCAAAGCAGUGUGUCAUUUCUAGGCCAAGGCAGAAUCCUAUCCAGCGAUACCGUAUUACCACUAAUCAUCAUGUCUCUUCUUGAUUGUGACAAUUUCUCAGACUUUUCUUGGUUUCCAUGACUUUGAAAGAUUUGAAAAUUAUCGGGCAGGUGUUUUGUAGGAUGUCCUUCAAUUGGGAUUUGCCUUUCUCAUGAUUAAACUGGGCUUAUGGGUUUGGGGGAGGAAGACCAAAGAGCUGAAGUGCCAUUUUCACCACAUCAUAUCAAGGCUACAUACUUUGCACAGGACUUAUCACUGUUGUUGAUGUUGACCUUGGUCGUCUGGCAGAGGCAGUCUUUGCCAGUUUUCUUUACUGUAAAGUUAUCUUCUUCCCUGCCCCUACUUUCAUACUAUGCUCUUUUGAAGGCAGUUACUAUGUGUAGGCCACACUUAGGGAGUGUGGAGUUGUAGUUUAUUUUAGUGUACUUGACAAGAAAUUGGUUUGUGAUAUAUUGAAAGUGAAAAUGGUCCUCCAACACUGCUCAUUUGAGAAGCACUGCUCUAAAAACCCUGUGUAAGGGCACACAGAAGAAAUGCUGGGACAGAGCCCAAGGCAUCUUGGCUUCAGUCCCAGGUCCUGUCAUUCCCCAGAGCCUAACUUGUGCAUCCAUCUAACUGUGGGGCCAAUUUGGCUGGCUCUGUAACACCACAGACUACCCCCUAACUUUCCAUGAAUCUUAAGGAGUGCUUCAAGUCUUGGUGGACGUUUCUGGAAUACUAGUUUCCUCAAACCUUGAUGCAUUCAUUUGUCAGAGUUACUGUUUUAGGUCAGGUUCAAUGGCAAAUAGGUUCUGAGAUGGAGAUUUGUACACAGAAAAUUCUUUUGGUGGGUGAUAGGAGAAGGACAGGUCAGAAGGAGAAGUCAAACGUCAAUGCAGUCCAAAUAAAAGCCCCUGCCAAUCUUACGGGGAGCUUUGGACCUGGGAUGGCCGUUCAGAGUUGCUCUGAAAUUAAGCAGA
rnacentral:lncRNA from 1 species